rfam:Fomitiporia mediterranea MF3/22 unplaced genomic scaffold FOMMEscaffold_7, whole genome shotgun sequence.
GGUUGUGUGGUCUAGUGGUAUGAUACCUGCUUCGGGAUCUCUGUAUAACAGAGGAGCUCAAGUGCAGGUGGCCCGGAGUUCGAAUCUCCGCUCAACCC